rnacentral:rRNA from 1 species
GAGUUUGAUCCUGGCUCAGGACGAACGCUGGCGGUAUGCUUAACACAUGCAAGUCGAACGAGAAGGAAGAGCUUGCUCUUCCUGAAAGUGGCGAACAGGUGAGUAACGCGUGGGUAACCUACCCUUUGGAAAGGAAUAGCCUCGGGAAACUGGGAGUAAUGCCUUAUAAGAUACGUUUGUCGCAUGGCAUUUGUAUUAAACGCUCCGGCGCCAUAGGAUGGACCCGCGUCCCAUUAGCUAGUUGGUGAGAUAACAGCUCACCAAGGCCACGAUGGGUAACCGGUCUGAGAGGGCGAACGGUCACACUGGAACUGAGACACGGUCCAGACUCCUACGGGAGGCAGCAGUGGGGAAUAUUGCGCAAUGGGGGCAACCCUGACGCAGCAAUACCGCGUGAGUGAAGAAGGUUUUCGGAUCGUAAAGCUCUGUUAUUGGGGAAGAAAAAAAGACGGUACCCAAGAAGAAAGUUCCGGCUAACUACGUGCCAGCAGCCGCGGUAAUACGUAGGGAACAAGCGUUGUCCGGAUUUACUGGGCGUAAAGGGCACGCAGGCGGUUUUUUAAGUCAGAUGUGAAAGGCCACAGCUCAACUGUGGACAUGCAUUUGAAACUGAAAGACUUGAGUAUUGGAGAGGCAAGUGGAAUUCCUAGUGUAGCGGUGAAAUGC